CGGCAGUUGUGGAGGCUAGGAAGCGCAGGCUAGGAAGCGUCCAUCAACGGAAGGGACUGGGUCGGAGUACAGGGUGUUCCGUUACAGCAACUUUCUACAGAUUUGUUUUUGCCUCCUGCUCACCUCUGACUUCACAUAGUAACUCUGGGACGUUUAAACAAAGGAUCCUUGGAAUACCAUGCAGCUUCAGUCAUGGGCAACCUGGGGAAUUUUUCCAGGGGGAGGCAUAAUUGUAAUGACAAUAAGCGUACGCACAUGCAGACACAGACAAACUCAUUGACACAAGCACACAAU